AAAGCACCUUUGUCUUGGUCUUUUUCGCUUUAUUAUUUCUAAGUGUAGGAAUGAGAGUUGACACUGCCUCAUUCAGUUUUGUCUCACGUUCAGUACAUCCACUAAUUAUGAUUCAUGCUUAAUCAUUGCCAUAGCUUUAUGCUAACACUUAAACUAGCCGGUCUCUGGAAAAGUCGUGCUGCUUUGCUAGGUGACAUCUAAAGAACAUAGGCGUGCCACGAUGCCACAUUGCCGCCGUAACAAAAGCAAGCAAACUACCACGAGAUAUCCAGAGAACAUAGGCAUGCAAUGCAAACGCCACAAAUCCAACCUAUUGCAUGCUAAACUCCGAAGCUAAAAGUGAAAGCAAAAGUAGCUACUUUUGGUGGUGCGUACUAGAACUUGAAUAGACAGUAGUAAAUUAACCAAACUGAAUGUAAAAAAGACAGUGGUGGUAGUUACGUCGCGGGUGUGUGCGGAUCGGCACGUGACCAUGUGCGCCAGCGUCGGGAUGGUGUAGACGGUGAAGCUGAUAAGGAGGGAUCCGACGGCGGAGUUGAUGGGCCUGAAGAAGGGGAAGACGAUGGCGAGGAACCAGAUGGGCUCCACGAUGGGGAGGCGCGUGGCGGUGCAGGAUACACAAACUCGAUCUGAAUUCUGAAAGCUUGUAUCAGGAAGUGAGUAUGCAAGAUAGCUUCAGGCAAGGUGUACAGAGGUUGUACAGAGGCUGCAGCUGAAGCUGGACUCUGAAGGUUUCUGUUGGAACAAUCAUUGAGAACGAUGAGAGAGUUUGUGUCACAUGUGCCGCUCACCGAUGAGAAGUAGAUUGAAGUGAAUGGUGCUAGAGAAGGAGCGGCCUGGAAAGUACACCAGUGAUGCCCUGCAAGGUGAGGAGAAGAAAGCUAAGGAGAUGCUCCGUGUAAUCCCUAAGAAGCAAAGAGGGAGCAAAAGAACGGGUCCGCUCCAAGGGACUAUGACAUUGGCACUUUCAACAUCUAGCAGUAGGAGAACCGGCCCCAAUUAGUACAUGGUUCAUAAUUUAUUAAGGUACUUCUAAGCUAUUUCUGCAUGUAGAAGAUUCAUGUGCCUCCAUUUACCACAUGUUCCUUGCUGCCCUAUCAUCUUCAUCUUGUUAUUUGGCUGCUGCUAAGCUGAUUGUGGUGAUUUACUGCCUUCUGAUCUUCUCACUACUCAAUCAAGGUCCUUUCUGAAAAGCUUCAGGACGAUAUGAGCGCUAAAAAGUUCCAGCUUGUUGACGUUGUUGGACUUGGUAAGCUUGAUGAAGCCGAGGUCCAUAAGAAAAAGAAAAAAGUAUGUUUUUAGUCCCUCAAGUUUCCAAAAAGUACAGACUUGGUCCCUAAAGAUUUUUUGGUAUACAUUUGGUCCCUCAAGUCUCAAAACCUGGUAAGUUUGGUCCUAAACCAGAUUUUGACCCCGUUGACCGGGUUUGACCGGGUCAAACCCGCUAGAUGAACAGUAAACUCGAAUUUUUUCAAAAAAUAUCAAAAAAUUCUGAACUUUUUUGCGGUCCAAUAUGCUUACAUGCGCAAGGUCCGACCAAAUUUUUGUGGUCUUUUGACACUCGAGGAGAUCGUAACAAAAAAACAAAAAUAGUUGUCCGAUGAAUAGUAAAUUCGUUUUUUUUUAAAUUCAAAAAAUUCUGAAUUUUUUUUGGGGUCGAAUAUGCUUACAUGUGCAAGGUGUGACCAAUUUUUUUGAACUGAUUUUGUUUUUUUUUUCGGAAUUUAAUGUUCGUUUACGGUUCAUCUGGUGGGUUUGACCCGGUCAAACCCAGUCAUCGGGGUCAAAAUCUGGUUUAGGACCAAACUUACCCGGUUUUGAGACUUGAGGGACCAAAUGUAUACCAAAAAAUCUUGAGGGACCAAGUCUGCACUUUUUGGGAACUUGAGGGAUUAAAAACAUACUUUUCUCUAAGAAAAAUAUUUUGUCGUCAUCCUAUACCGGUGGGCGUCGCUGUAUAACUGAAAACUUCCACACCGCGAUCACUAUUUCCCGUGUCCAAGCCUCGCCUGAUAUAAUCACAACCUUCACAACCUUCACGUGUAAUCCAAAGUGGCCUGAAAUAAUGGAGUCUUUAACCUAGGCAAACAAUAGUCGAUAGGGCUGAUAUUAUCGUUUGAGUAUAUCACAUGAAACUGCUUGAGCUACAGAUGAUUAGGACCGGAAAGAUGUUUGGGACUGUAGUUCCUGGUACCAUGCCCAGUGCAUUUUCUAUCCUUUCUUCAUUUUUCUUACCCAUGUUUCUUACUUUUCAUGUUUUUCAUUUACCCUCCUAUUUUCCAGUUCUCUACACCAUAGAGUUCGAAAAGAGGGGUCUUCCACAUGCACGUGUCCUUGUUUAGCAGGAGACGGAUGAUGACCGGAUGGUCACACCAACUUUCAUAAAUUCUUUUGUUUCAACUACUGUUAGUAUUUCUAUCGGAUUUACCGUCCUCUUUAUUUAUUUUCCUCUUGCAUGGUUCCCAAUGAUUAGCUUGACUCUGUCAGAGGGAUCUGAACCGGUGCACUUACUAACAUCAUGGAAACUGGACUUGCUCAGCCACCUGGGCUUAAGAGGUACAACCUCUCUAGGCACCUAUCCAGACUGGAAAUACAUGCAUGAAUCAUAAAACAAAACAGUAAUAAGAAACCCUAUGCAAUCAAGCUUCUGUUCUUAUACCUCUGUUUCUUUAUAUCAUCUUGUUGGAUUUCUGUUUCUCUUCAUAUUAGAUACAGAUAUGUGAUUCUCAUGUGAUCGUUUUGCUGGAAACUUGCUAAUCUUAGGGGUGCUGCUACUGGUGUAAAAAAUGUUUUAUCGAAAGAACUAAGUAGUAGGCAAUCCAAGCAUUGAAGAAGUGACGCAGAGGUUACGCUAUAUUUGCAUGAGGUCAGAGCAGCGCCUGAAGACUACACAAGAUAGUUUCUGGUGACCUUUAGUCUAUAUGUGCUAACCAACAACAUCCACCUUUUGUUUCAUAUCAAUCGAUCCAGUAUCUUUGUCCUUUUGGCGUUGCUCUGAGCAAGAUAUGUAUAGCCUUUAGAUUCCCAUUCGUGUAUGAUACUGCAUGUACACUUUAAACCUUAUUAUUGUCUUUGUGGUCAAAAGAAACUUGUGAUUACUUGUUCUAUAUAUGUAAUCAACUGGCCUUCUAUUAAUAUUUUCAAAAGACUAUUUAUAUAUGUUUACACUGGUUAGAGAAAAUCAUGACAUUGCCAGCAGCAAUUUUUUAUUUGCAUAUGUUUCAAUAUUUUUAUGUGUACUCAUUCAAUACUUGGCUUGCUUUCGCCCUUUGCGCCAGCAACGAGUCAUCUAGUUCCAGUAAAAACUACGCGUGGAGCGGAUCUUAUUAGUAGCUGAGGAAACAACGGUCAAGGUGUAC